GUUCUGCCCUCCUCCCUCAGCCGGUUGCACACCUGAGUGUAAUCAGUGCUCAGGUAGAGUGGGGGAGGUGAUAAGAAUGCAGAGAGUGAAGGGACAGAGGCACAUGGAGAGCACACCAGCAGCACACUAGUGAGGAGUUUCCUCCCCAGCAGUGCUAAGAGAAUGGAGUAUCUCUCUGCAGAAGAAGAACGUGGCGACCGACUGAGUCCUGGCCACCACAAAGUAACACUGACACACACACCAGAGAAUCGAGUCUGACGUUCCUGCUGCUCCACUCACAGAGAAGCACUGAACCCGUCAGAUGAAACACACUCAACCUACUAGUUGCAAAAAGCUUUCACG